rnacentral:rRNA from 1 species
GAUCCUGGCUCAGGAUGAACGCUAGCUACAGGCUUAACACAUGCAAGUCGAGGGGAAGCGACAUCGAAAGCUUGCUUCCGAUGGGCGUCGACCGGCGCACGGGUGAGUAACGCGUAUCCAACCUGCCCACCACUUGGGGAUAACCUUGCGAAAGUAAGACUAAUACCCAAUGAUAUCUCUAGAAGACAUCUGAAAUAGAUUAAAGAUUUAUCGGUGAUGGAUGGGGAUGCGU